rnacentral:tRNA from 2 species
GCUCACGUGGCGGAAUUGGUAGACGCGCUAGAUUCAGGUUCUAGUCCAUGCAAGUGGGUGAAGGUUCGAGUCCUUUCGUGAGCA